UAAACACUACUGAGCAACAACUGAAAACAUCAGCGUUAUCAACAUUCUUCUCAUACUGAACUCAAAACACAGCACUGUACCAGCUACUAGGAAGACAGUUAACUCUAUCCCAGCUGAAACCAGGACAGGAUCACAUUAAAGUGUUAGCCCCAGGAGCUGACUGCGAGGCUGAUCCUUGAUUAAUGGCAGGGCGGCUGCCUGCUGCAGCAGGAGGGGGCCGGCCGGGGAGGGAUUUAUCCCACUCAUCUGACACGAGGCGCUUCGCUCUUCUGCGGUGUCGUGGAUACAGAGCCAGGGCUGAAAGCCUCGGUUUUCGGUACCUCUGAUCUACCUCAAACGUACCUUAAAAGAGAAAGGAGCUGUGCUGUGGAUCUCAGCCUUGACUGGCACGUUCCUGGGCUUUGCACUCGAGUAUCUGGGAAAGGGGGAGGCAGCCGGAGAAAGGCAGCAAAGCAUCUCACGAGUGUUUCUCCCGGCUGAUCUGCAGGCAGUGUUGGAAAAGAAGGGGUCGUUCCUGCUUCCGAGAGCGACUGACGGGAACCUGGGGUGGGAUUCUGGUCUCACUACCUCAGAAACCUGCGGUGUGCAUACAUCUGCAGCUGAACUGGGCACCCUAGGCUUCCCUGAUUAGUUAAUGGAGGCGAUUAGGUAUUUUUAGGCAUGACUCGCCUGUCCUAUUUUAGCUUUCUAUUUUAGUACAGGAUGAAUUGUACGAUGUCCGUUAACUUUAAAGAGAGUCUAAUCCGAGUAGCUCAGAUGCGGACCUCUUAACUGAUUUAUUCGGAUCAGUUCUGCCCCCGUCUGCCAAGGUCUUUAAAGCACCAGGUAUCUUCCAAGGCUAAAGCCGAGGCAAACAGUGAGAGAGAGGCAGUGCAGAAAGCUGUCUUUUGCUUUGCUUUUCCCAGAUAGCAGCAUCUCUUCAGGUGUGACUUUGGCAGCCAAACGCUCGAGUUGGCUGUGGUCGUUUUGUACCGUCAAAAGUAUUGUUGGUCCUAGUCUAGGAGCAAUGCAGUCUCCGUCUGUACAACCUCUAUCCAGUUGGAAAAAGAAAAGGAUUUUUAGUUGCCUUCCCUCUCAAACAUCUGCUUUUCUGUUGACAAAUUGCUCCCUCUCUCUUGCCCUAUCCCUGCCCUCCUUUUUCCUUAUGGCUCUCCGUCUCGACCCCUCCUGAUGCAGCCAAACCUGCCAAUUCUCUGUAGCUCCUCCGAGGCUCCCGAUCUUCCUUACCUUUUGCUGAAACUAAGCAAAGAGGCUCCCUGGCGUAGAGGCAGGAAUAUCAGCUACACCUCAAUAGCGCAGCCACGCUGGGACCCGCAACAACAUGCCCCCACACGUGUCCUCGUACGCAGAGUUUGCUGUGGGCUGGAAGAGGCAGCAGGAGGGAAGGCCGGGUCGUACCGAGCGUUUCUAAGCCGAUGAAAACAGCAGGCAUUGCCCGGUGGUGGUCCGCGUGCAGGGACCAGGCUGGGACCAGGCGCAGGCAGCAAAGCGUAUCCAUAGGAAUGAAGUACAAAGAUGAUGAAGACUGGUAUGUCUUGCACACCGUCAUCUCCUCGUAGCGUGUGCUCUCUGCCUACUGAUGCAAAUAAGGGCAUCCUCCAUCAUUUUUCUGAAGCUGACCCGAGACCGUGAUGUUUUCCACGUGGGCGGAAUUCAUACACAGCACAGCUCUGAGCCUCUGGCUACAUGGGGAACCGCACAAGCUCCUUGAUGAUACCACAGGCCACGAACCACGGGUGGCUGCUGGCUGCCCGUACCCUGCCUCGCAAUCGCCGGAACGAUCAGCUGGCCGAACAGGGCGGAAUCUCCCAGUGGUGGUCUCCGUUCUGACGGUCUCAGGGUGAGCUGGCGCAAGAGGUGGGUUAUAUGCAGACUGAGGGCUGAGGCAUUCUUGAUAAAUUCGGGUGUCUGAUAGAACUAGGAUUGAACUUCUCAUUUCCAAGCCUUGUUUGGAGCCUCAAUGUUGGUGCCUCUUUUCCUUCCCUUGCUCUGUAAUCUGAAGGAUUGAGCUUCAGUUUAUUUCAUCCCUUCUCACACCAUAUAUAGCUGUCAGUGGUCUAGAACUCUGCUUGAUUUUUAUUUUUUUUUUUUUUGCUUUAACAAUGUCAUUCCUGGCCUGUGUCCCCCUACCAGCUGUCUAAUGAUGGUAUAAUCAUGAGCUCUGAGCGCUGUCAUCUCUAAACUCAGUCUUAUUGAAUCAAAUACCUGCUCUAAACUGCAAUAUCUGUGUACUCACACACACAGGAUGGGUUUCUACUUGCUCUCUUCCCAGCUAACACAGUGAAUCCUGGCUGGGCUGAGCACACCGAAUCCCUCUCUGUUCUGCUCACCAUUUGCAUUCUGUUUUCAGGCUGUCAUUCGAGGACAGCUGAAGAACUUGGCCGGUACAGGCUCUUUCAAGGUUGGGAUCAGCGUUUUGAUGAAUUGUAGAGUCUUUGGGUAGAGGGUGAACAUUGAUCUGCACUUCUCUGCAGGAGAACUGCAGAUGUUCAAGGAUGUGUAGGAUGCAGAGGAUCCACCUUGUGCAACUGAUACUUUAUAAGCCGGAGUUCAGAGUGCGUGUCCAGCUGUUGUGUCAGAGCACAGCAACGAUGCAGCUCCCAGCAGGCUCCGUCUCCCUUCCACCGGGAUCUUUCUCCCACAGGAGACCUCCUGCCACCACCUGAGCUUCUGCAAGCUUCCUCUUCCAGUGCAAGAUGAUCCUGUAGGAUGUCUGAUAACAGGGAGUGCUGAUAGGUGUCCGUGUCCCAGGACCCUGAUUCCCGGUAAUCUUCAUCAGGAUAAGGAGAGAAGAGCACGCACACGGCAGGUCCUAGCUAUAUCGGUUACUGCAUAUCUGAUAGGUGUCCAGACACUAGAAGAACUUCUGUAAGAUAGCAUAAAAUACAUAAAGUACAAGUUGUUUGGCACACUUAGGGAGCUCUGCCCUACAAAUCAUUCCCCUUCUGCUUCUCUUGUUGCUAAUGAAACAGCUGCUCUUUGGUUUCAGGCUUUAACCUAUUUUUAGAUUCCUUUUAUGCUGUUGGCCCUUUGAAAUGCAUGAGUCGCUGUGAAAGAAAGCCAGUGUCAUUGCUGUGAGGCAAGAGGAAGGCCUAUAGGUGAAGUCAUGUCUGGUAAUGAGAGACUGUCUCACCUAUUCAUCUCCUCCCUUCCUUUAUUUCUAUAAAGCAACUCUGUUCCCUUGGGCACGCGGUUGCAUACCUUUUCUGCUUUUAUUUAAGCAUUACAGAGAUAUCAGGCACAGCCCUUCAUUAGCACAGCUGCAGAGCCGGCAUGCUCUGCUGCGGUCCCAAUACAUGGUCCUGUUCCCACCGCGGGAAAUGUGCCGGCCUGAAGCGGAAAGGGAGCUGGAGGAGCUUGGAUUUCAAGGAGAGAAGCUGGAGAACAGCGCAGAAAGGAGGAAGCUGUGAAUAAAAUAGGGGGCCAGCGGAAGACAGACCUUUAUUCUCAUUGCUGCAGCCUUUACUGCCUUGAGGACUUCUGUUCGCUCUGCAUCCCUGCACUGACACACAGUUUCACUGGAAUCGAGUCAUCUCCGACGUAUCUGCUAAAUCCUGGCUAGAGACAAGGAGUUCUCAGCACAGCAGGGUUCGGUUUUCUCUUUAUGGUUGAAAAAUGUGGUUCGAAUUCUGUGCUACAGCGAAAAUCUAGCAGCAAAAUGUGUGCCUCUGAGCUGUAAAGGCGGCUGCUGUUGCAGAUUCAUACGAGCUCGGUUACGUACGGGGAACUUUGUACUCGGAGGAAAUUAUCACUAGUCUGUAACGCUCUUGGUUUUCUGUUGGCUUUGUAUAGGUUCCUACACUGACGAAAGUGCAUUUCAAGUUGAAUUUUUUCAGGCCCUGUGUAUGUAGCAUUACAUAGAUUGCAAACAUCUGCUGUGAUUUCCCCUGUUCAGAAUAAAACUGUCUAUGACACCUGUA